AGUGAACGCUGGCGGUAGGCCUAACACAUGCAAGUCGAACGGCAGCACAGUAAGAGCUUGCUCUUACGGGUGGCGAGUGGCGGACGGGUGAGGAAUACAUCGGAAUCUACUUUUUCGUGGGGGAUAACGUAGGGAAACUUACGCUAAUACCGCAUACGACCUACGGGUGAAAGCAGGGGAUCUUCGGACCUUGCGCGAUUGAAUGAGCCGAUGUCGGAUUAGCUAGUUGGCAGGGUAAAGGCCCACCAAGGCGACGAUCCGUAGCUGGUCUGAGAGGAUGAUAAGCCACACUGGAACUGAGACACGGUCCAGACUCCUACGGGAGGCAGCAGUGGGGAAUAUUGGACAAUGGGCGCAAGCCUGAUCCAGCCAUACCGCGUGGGUGAAGAAGGCCUUCGGGUUGUAAAGCCCUUUUGUUGGGAAAGAAAAGCAGCAGGUUAAUACCCAGCUGUUCUGACGGUACCCAAAGAAUAAGCACCGGCUAACUUCGUG
rnacentral:rRNA from 1 species